CGCAGCUGUAGGCAACUGUCUAGGUUGCCUUUUACCUAGGCAAAUGUUACACUGCUGGGAGAAAAGCAAUCAAUAGUUGGCAGGCAUUCUGGACCUGGUUAAUGCCAAAUUU
rnacentral:snoRNA from 1 species